rnacentral:piRNA from 1 species
UGCUUUUCAAGGUGGAUGAUAUACCCCAAC